GCAUUUUCGAGCCAAAAGUGCGAAGCGUCUACGCGGGGAAAUCAGUCCACUGGACUGAUUUCUGAUCCCGCUUCGAUGCGUAGGAUAAUGCGACCAAACAAAAAGAUAGAGCG
rnacentral:misc_RNA from 1 species